GGCGGGAUAGCGCAGCGGUAGCGCGCCGGGCUCAUACCCCGGAGGUCGGUGGUUCAAAUCCACCUCCCGCAACCA
rnacentral:tRNA from 1 species